AAAAGAAGUCUUGAGCUAAGAAAGAGAUGACAUGGCCAAAUAAGCAGAUCGGAGUGGCCCUUAGUUGCCCGUGUUGAUGCUUUUGCCGGAGCUUCCACAUCUGAUCCUCUAAUUGAUUCCGACGUAUUUGAGCGAGGAUCUGAGGCUCUUGUGUUUUCCCAAAUGAGUCUCCCACCCAAGGUUUGGCUAAUUCCGAUUUCCCCUGUUUUGGUUGGUUCUCACUGGACUGAUCCUCCUCCACAGUUGUACUGUUGUUGUCUCUGGCUUUGGUCUAAAUUCAGGAUGCACCAUCCAACAACCUUGUAAAUCAUGCCCCUGCAAUCUACAAUUGGUGCAAUAUUUAGGGAGAUAGUCAUUGUUGAUACCCAACUUUGGCCCUCCUUUUUCGUUUAAUUAAUUUCACUAUGCUUCUCAGUCCUGAAAAUUCGCCAGAAUGAGCUUGGAAUAUUUUCAUUAAUUAUUACGCUAUUUUUUGAGAUAUAUUUCUCUAAAGUUAAGAACAUUCUUAUUAUUUCUUAAAAAUUACCAAACACCGUAUUUUUAAUUAUAAAAAUUACUAAACAUCAUUCUUUACAAUUAAAUCACUCAAAAAUAGUGUUGAUAUUCCUGUAUCAAUAUUGGCGUUGGCAUUUUUCCUUUAAUCUUGUUUAUUACUAUGUUAAUCAUCGGUUAUUCUAUUUUAAACUAAAUACGUAUAUUAAAUUAAUCAUAUGUUCAAGUAAAUAUUCUCUUUUUACUUCUUUUUCACAAAAGAAUUAUAAUAAACCAUCGUUAAGGUUAUGGGAUAAUUCUUGUUUGAGUAUAUUUGAGUUGGAAUCUGGACAUAUAUGAAAAAACUUCUUCUCAUCUCAUCCUCAGUUUAUAACUAUAAAAUGUAGUCGUUCGAUUAUUCGGGCUAGUUUUUUUUAGUGUUCUGUACAUUUUCGAGUCUGUUUUUUUUUUUUAAAAUAAAUAAAUAGCAGAUGAUCCAUUAUGGACAUCAGCAUGUGAAAGGCUAAUACAAACUAAGGGCAUUUAGAGGAAUACGACUGAUUCGUUAACUUAUCGAAUACGUGAUAAACCUUUACGCUCUUCUACUUUAUUUUUAUUUUUUUGUUUGUUUCGAGAUGCGCCAGAACCUAUUUUACUUUGUAUACGGUAAAAACCGGAUAUGAGUCAAUCCGGAGAAACUAUGGAUCGGAGGAAGAAAGGGGCCGUUAGUUCGCACGAGGGGCAGCACACCUUUCCGGAUAAGCGCUUUAAUCAAAGCUGAGCAGAGGCGCCAUUUGGCCCGGUCUCUAUGCCACCGAUGGUUCGGGGACUCUUCCUGAGGGUUCGUCACCGUUGAUCCGGACAGCCGUUUGUCCGUGUAUCCGUUGGUCCGUUAUGACCGUUGCUGAAACGCAUCAGUGGUGUCACAUCAUGGUCGGCUACCAACUAUGCGUGUGUCAGACGGCGCCGUCAGUCCAAUCCCACCAAAUCCGUGCACGGGCUGUCCUUUUUAUUGCUAUUUUAUUAAUUCAUAUUGUAUGAGUCCCGUGGGCUCACUGCUAUAAAUAGGAUAUAUCCUCCUCCCUUAAGGGGGUUGACUCUUCUUACUUUCCAAGAACAUUUGUAAUA